UACGUAGGUGGCAAGCGUUGUCCGGAAUCAUUGGGCGUAAAGCGAGCGUAGGCGGCCCGAUAAGUCUGCUGUAAAAGUCAACGGCUCAACCGUUGAAAGCCGGUGGAUACUGUCGGGCUAGAGUUCGGAAGAGGCAAGUGGAAUUCCUGGUGUAGCGGUGGAAUGCGCAGAUAUCAGGAGGAACACCUAUAGCGAAGGCAGCUUGCUGGGACGAAACUGACGCUAAGGCUCGAAAAGCGUGGGGAGCGAACAGG
rnacentral:rRNA from 1 species